CCAACUUUCAGGUGUCUGAAUAUCGGUCCAGAAACUGUAAAGGAAAAUCAAGAUUGAUUUUUUAAGGCAUGCACAAAACUUGAUCUCACCAAUACAGGGGUAAACAGAAGGAGUUUCCAGACAACCAUCAAACUCAUCUCCAGAGGAGAAUGGAAUUGGGCAGCCACAUUUUAUCCCAAUCUGGAAUCAUCCUCAGAGAUGAACAACCCUAUUGGAGAAAGGAAGGAGGAAAGGGGCUCCUAGCCCAAAGCCUAGAGACAACUCAGACUGACAUCUCCCUCGACCACCUACCUAC